GCGGCGGACGGGUGAGUAAUGCCUAGGAAUCUGCCUGGUAGUGGGGGACAACGUUUCGAAAGGAACGCUAAUACCGCAUACGUCCUACGGGAGAAAGCAGGGGACCUUCGGGCCUUGCGCUAUCAGAUGAGCCUAGGUCGGAUUAGCUAGUUGGUGAGGUAAUGGCUCACCAAGGCGACGAUCCGUAACUGGUCUGAGAGGAUGAUCAGUCACACUGGAACUGAGACACGGUCCAGACUCCUACGGGAGGCAGCAGUGGGGAAUAU
rnacentral:rRNA from 1 species